GAUGAACGCUGGCGGCGUGCCUAAUACAUGCAAGUCGAGCGAACGGACGAGAAGCUUGCUUCUCUGAUGUUAGCGGCGGACGGGUGAGUAACACGUGGAUAACCUACCUAUAAGACUGGGAUAACUUCGGGAAACCGGAGCUAAUACCGGAUAAUAUUUUGAACCGCAUGGUUCAAAAGUGAAAGACGGUCUUGCUGUCACUUAUAGAUGGAUCCGCGCUGCAUUAGCUAGUUGGUAAGGUAACGGCUUACCAAGGCAACGAUGCAUAGCCGACCUGAGAGGGUGAUCGGCCACACUAGAACUGAGACACGGUCCAGACUCCUACGGGAUGCAGCAGUAGGGAAUCUUCCGCAAUGGGCGAAAGCCUGACGGAGCAACGCCGCGUGAGUGAUGAAGGUCCUCGGAUCGGAAAGCUCUGUUAUUAGGGAAGAACGUAUGUGUAAGUAACUGUGCACAUCUUGACGGUACCUAAUCAGAAAGCCACGGCUAACUACGUG
rnacentral:rRNA from 1 species